rnacentral:rRNA from 1 species
UACGUAGGGCGCGAGCGUUGUCCGGAAUUAUUGGGCGUAAAGAGCUCGUAGGCGGCCGGUUGCGUCUGCUGUGAAAUCCCGGGGCUUAACCCCGGGCGUGCAGUGGAUACGGGCCGGCUGGAGGCAGGCAGGGGAGAAUGGAAUUCCCGGUGUAGCGGUGAAAUGCGCAGAUAUCGGGAGGAACACCGGUGGCGAAGGCGGUUCUCUGGGCAGUAACUGACGCUGAGGAGCGAAAGCGUGGGGAGCGAACAGG